AUACGGAGGGUGCAAGCGUUAUCCGGAAUCAUUGGGUUUAAAGGGUCCGUAGGCGGAUAAUUAAGUCAGGGGUGAAAUCCCACAGCUCAACUGUGGCACUGCCUUUGAUACUGGUUAUCUUGAGUUAUAGGGAAGUAGAUAGAAUAUGUAGUGUAGCGGUGAAAUGCAUAGAUAUUACAUAGAAUACCGAUUGCGAAGGCAGUCUACUAUCUGUAUACUGACGCUAAGGGACGAAAGCGUGGGGAGCGAACAGGAUUAGAAACCCGAGUAGUCC
rnacentral:rRNA from 1 species